rnacentral:lncRNA from 1 species
UAUCGAUCAUCUGCACACAACUGUUUAUAGAGUAUCUGUUAAAAAUGAAAGAUGUAUUAGUUUUUCUAACUUUUAUAUUAUUACCGGGAAUAAUUAUUUUAUACUUCAUAGUUAAAUGUUACAACUAUUUACGUGGACUUUGGACUAUGUUUAUUUUCAUGGUUGCUUGUUUGCUGGCUGUUUUGUUCAUACUGUUUAAUAGUCUAAUGCUGUGAUGUUUCUUCAGCCAUGCAGUUAGUUCAGCAGUGUUAUAGAUUUCAACAAGAGCGUGACAAUGAAUCCGACGGACCGAAUUACCACUGCAAGUCAUCAGCUUCUCCAAACUCCAACAGAUGGUUUAGCAUGGUGAUACACAGCUUAAGAUACAUUCGAGAACAGCCAAUGGUGUUGAUUUCCAAAUUGGUCUUGGUAUUGAGUCAGACCAAAUCUGAUUCAUGAUAUAUUACAUUUAAUUCUACAGUUGAUAUGAUAAGAUUUCUAGCAGGAAAUAUUAUUGCAUUCGCUGUAUUGUCAUGCAGUGUUUGAAAAUAAUUGUAUUAUCAAAUUCCGUAAUGAAAGAAAUGUUUUACAUUUAUUUAUUAUUUUAUAUGUGUUUAUUUUCUAUUAAAAUGAUUCAAAGAACUAUUAAUGCCAAGCUCUGAUUGAUUUCAACAAUGUCCAAGAGGUACUUAACAUUAACAUAUAUAUAUAUCUAAUCUAUUAGUAUUUAUCAUCAUGUACAGAAUAUGGUGAAAUAACUUUUUUAUAAACGAGUAAAACAUGCGGCAUUACUUUCAACUUUUGAUAAGCAGUAACUUUAUUUUGUUGCAAUAGCAAUAUCAAAACAUUUGUAGAGGUUAUAUCUUUACUACACUUUCAAUUAUAAACAAUGUACAUUGUUGAACACCUUUUUCAAACAUAUUUUACAUAGUCUCCUCUAUGCACAAUACAAACAGGAAAUACUUGUUUUGUCAGUUCACUAAUAUCAAAAAGUUCCACAAUUCGUUAUCAAUGUAUAGGUCCAUAUAUACAAAUUUGUCUUAUAUUUUUUUCUCAUAUCACUAUUACGCGACAAAAAUAGCUCUUUGUUUGAAUAUGUUCAAAGAUCGUUUACCAUCUACAAUUUUUAGGCAUGGUUAGAGUGCCUAUAAUUUAUUAAGCUUCCAAUCUAUAUGGAAAAAUAAACAUAAAUUAAACUAUAUAAACACA